rnacentral:rRNA from 1 species
UACGGAGGGUGCAAGCGUUAUCCGGAUUCACUGGGUUUAAAGGGUGCGUAGGCGGAUAGGUAAGUCCGUGGUGAAAUCCUGCAGCUUAACUGCCGAACUGCCGUGGAUACUAUCUAUCUUGAAUAUCGUGGAGGUUAGCGGAAUAUGUCAUGUAGCGGUGAAAUGCUUAGAUAUGACAUAGAACACCCAUUGCGAAGGCAGCUAACUACGCGAUCAUUGACGCUGAUGCACGAAAGCGUGGGGAUCAAACAGG